rnacentral:rRNA from 1 species
AGACGUCUACAUUAGAUACCCGUGUAGUCCAGGGUGUAAACGCUGCAGACUUGGCGUUGGGAACCCUUCGGGGGUGCUCAGUGCCGGAGAGAAGUUGUUAAGUCUGCUACUUGGGGAGUACGUCCGCAAGGAUGAAACUUAAAGGAAUUGGCGGGGGAGCACCGCAACGGGAGGAGCGUGCGGUUUAAUUGGAUUCAACGCCGAAAAACUCACCAGCAGCGACUGUUACAUGAAAGUCAGGUUGAUGACCUUACUAGAUUUUCAG